GCUCCCAUGGCGUAGUGGUCACUGCGCUCGCCUUGCACGCGGGAGACCCGGGUUCGAUUCCCGGCGGUUUCA
rfam:Asian citrus Psyllid, Diaphorina citri - Florida Strain, whole genome shotgun sequence.